GUGGACCGGCGCCGCGCCUCCAGAUCUGCAUCGGAAUGCAGAAAAGAUCUUUUUUUUUUUUUUUUUUGGAAAAAAAGUUUCGAAUUCCUCAAUGAUUUUUUUCUUCUGCAAAGGCAGCUUAGGAUAAUUAUUUCAGCUUUAUUGAGGGCAGAUUAGUUGAAGUCUGAGCGCUGCGUUUCAAUACGCGUUGUACACGGGCCGACAAUGUGG
ensembl:misc_RNA